rnacentral:misc_RNA from 1 species
AAACCCUCUUUAUCACCUACUCCCAGUGCCAUACUCUCAUUUUCUCAUCUCACAGACAACUAAGAUUCAAAGCUGCUUCUAAAAUGCACAAGGUCCAAUCCCCGGUCACCGGGGACCAGAAACUCCGUCCAAAUUGUGGCCGUAAACCUCUGCAACCGAGGAACUCGCUGGCCAAUCCAGUAACCGAGAUUCAAAUUCUAAAGCCGAAGAAAGAGUGGAUUGAGAUUCCGUUGGCUAGUGAAUCGAACAAGGAGAACCAUCCGAUCUGUACGGCGACGCCAACAAAGCUCGUGAUUGAGCCGUUGGAUGCGUCGCUAGCGGAGGAACUGAGCGCGAUCAGGAAGAAGAUAGAGAGAUUGAGACUUGACAGACAGAAAACAGAGAAAAUGUUGAAUGAGAGGGAGAAGGUACUGGAUAUGCAAAUGAAUGAGCUGGAGCAGAGAGGAGAGAUUCAGAAAAAGCUCGAGAUUGAGGUGGAUAGACUCUACAGAUUGAAGGAACUCCAAUCUUGCUCUAUGAGAAUUUCUCCAAUGCGUUCGCUGAGAGAGAAGGAACAUGAGAAGAAGAUUGCUCAAGAGCAUUGCCAGGUUUGUAUUUUGUCGCUUUGAAAUUCAAAUCCAAUUGUUGUCUGCAUCGAGAAAAUGAGGUGUUAUUCUAAUGUAUGCAGGGAAAGAAACCAGAGGAAAUGGAGGAAUCGGUGAGUGGAAGCAGACUGAUGAGUCCGUGUUUGAGUUCGAGCUCAAGUUCAAAUUCGAUUUCUUCGCAGCUUGUGGCUGUGUAAUGAUGUUUCUCUCUUUCUUCAGUUCAACAUUUGCAGGUUCUCCCUUACGAUUUGAUUUUGUCUCCCUUUUCUUAAAAAAAAAAAAAUUUUGCUUCAUGUCACUUCUACAGUAUUUCAUUGUAGAAUUUGGUAAAGACGAAAAUAUUACACCAGUUAUUCUCAAUGUUGACGUGAUUAGGACUUUAAGAUUCCCAAAUUCCAAUGCUUACGGUGGUGUUCUUUUCUCUGGUUGAAGGCGUGAUAAACAAGAUUUUACAAGGAA